rnacentral:snRNA from 1 species
GUGCUCGCUUCAGCAGCACAUAUACUAAAAUUGGAAUGGUACAGAGAAGAUUAGCAUGGCCCCUGUGCAAGUAUGACAUGCAAAUUUAUGAGGCAUUCCGUAUUGUU